UAAUUGAGUGCGCUUUCCACAUGAGAAUUAGAGAUCUAGCAUCAUUGCUGGUGAAUUUUUGGCUUUGUUUUGUUGUGGGUUUGUUUGUUUCUUCCAUUGUGCUACUCUGGCUUAAGCUUUUUCAGGGCUUGGUGUUCCGAAUACACAGUGAGCUCACAGUUUAAAGACAUCAAUUAGGAGUUGACAGGUAUGGAAAACUAGAGGUGUGUAAAGGUAAAUUAGGUUUUAGGUUAAUAUAUGGUUUUAAAAUAUUCUGUAGUGUUUAUUUGGCCAUAGUGAGGUACAAGGGACUUGUGAAACACAGUAGAAAGCAUGUUAAUCAUGCAUACUUCUGUAUGCAUUACUUAAUGUCUGCAGAAGUCAUUUCUGUGGCCCGAUACACUAGUCCUACAGAGAGAAAUGUGAAUGGACUCAGAUUCUAAAGCAUACACAUUGUAGAUUUGAAUAUGUAAAGGAAUAUUUCUGAAGCACAGCAUGGUUACCCAGAUUAGUUAGCCAGGGUCAUAAAGCAAAGUUAGAGGCAGGAUAGAGGAAUAGUUGGACAAUCUGAUAGUCUUCUGUUAGUUAUCUCUUCCCUUUCGUCUAUCCCUGUCUACUUACUGCUUCCUCCUUUCCUGUCCUUUCUAAGGUUUUCACUCUGAAAGCCAGUCCUUGUAUUUUACAUUUGGGGCAGUAAUCUAUAAUAGAGGAUUUCAGAGACAUUAGCUAGCACCUUUUUAUCUACUAUCUUAUGUUCUACACAAAGAGUGUAAGCGUUUAGAAACCACUAGUUCAUAAGACACCCUAGCCCUUGGUGCUUUCUACACCUAAAUAGAGGCGUGUAAUAAAUGAUCAUUAGCCUAUUCUGUGCCCAGUUGACACAUGA
rnacentral:lncRNA from 1 species